UACGUAGGGUGCAAGCGUUGUCCGGAAUUAUUGGGCGUAAAGAGCUCGUAGGCGGUCUGUCACGUCGGCUGUGAAAACCCGAGGCUCAACCCCGGGCCUGCAGUCGAUACGGGCAGACUAGAGUGCGGUAGGGGAGACUGGAAUUCCUGGUGUAGCGGUGGAAUGCGCAGAUAUCAGGAGGAACACCGAUGGCGAAGGCAGAUCUCUGGGCCGUAACUGACGCUGAGGAGCGAAAGCGUGGGGAGCGAACAGG
rnacentral:rRNA from 1 species